rnacentral:rRNA from 1 species
AUUGAACGCUGGCGGCAUGCCUAACACAUGCAAGUCGAACGGCAGCACGGCAGUAGCAAUACUGUGGGUGGCGAGUGGCGGACGGGUGAGGAAUACGUCGGAAUCUGCCCAGUCGUGGGGAUAACUAGCCGAAAGGUUAGCUAAUACCGCAUACGACCGAGAGGUGAAAGCGGGGGACCGCAAGGCCUCGCGCGAUUGGAUGAGCCGACGUCGGAUUAGCUAGUUGGUGGGGUAAAGGCCCACCAAGGCGACGAUCCGUAGCUGGUCUGAGAGGAUGAUCAGCCACACUGGAACUGAGACACGGUCCAGACUCCUACGGGAGGCAGCAGUGGGGAAUAUUGGACAAUGGGCGCAAGCCUGAUCCAGCAAUGCCGCGUGUGUGAAGAAGGCCUUCGGGUUGUAAAGCACUUUUAUCAGGAACGAAAAGCGUUGGAUUAAUGCUCUGACGUGCUGACGGUACCUGAGGAAUAAGCACCGGCUAACUUCGUG